UACGGGAGGCAGCAGUGGGGAAUAUUGCACAAUGGGCGAAAGCCUGAUGCAGCUAUGCCGCGUGUAUGAAGAAGGCCUUAGGGUUGUAAAGUACUUUCAUCGGGGAGGAAAAAACAAAACUAAUAAUUUUAUUCUUGACGUUACCCGAAAAAGAAGCACCGGCUAACUCCGUGCCAGCAGCCGCGGUAAUACGGGGGUGCUAGCGUUAAUCAGAAUUACUGGGCGUAAAGAGCACGUAGGUGGUUUUUUUAAAGUCAGAUGUGAAAUCCCUGGGCUUAACCUAGGAACUGCAUUUUGAAACUGAAAUACUAGAGUAUCGUAGAGGGAGGUAGAAUUCUAGGUGUAGCGGUGAAAUGCGUAGAUAUCUGGAGGAAUACCUGUGGCGAAAGCGGCCUCCUAAACGAAUACUGACACUGAGGGUGCGAAAGCGUGGGGAGCAAACAGGGAUUAGAUACC
rnacentral:rRNA from 1 species